GGGCCGGUAACUCAGCGGUAGAGUGUAGGACUGCAGCUUUGCCACAAGCCGUCUUCCCGAAGUCACCGGUUCGAUUCCGGUUCGGCCCU
rnacentral:tRNA from 2 species